AGGACCCAGAUGCUAUACAGUGGGAAAACCAGCCUGGCAACAUAAGCUCACAAGCUAUCAGAAAGUUGUAUGGCAACCACCUCCGGCGCCAAAUAGAACUGGCAGACAUAGACAUUCAGUACAAGAAGAAAAAGAUGGAAAAUCUUGCACUGGAGUCCGAAAUAAAAAAGAGGACAAUUAGGAAACUGGACCUUGAAAUAAAAAAACUUGAGAGGGAGCUCCAAGAAGAUGACACAGCUCAAAAUAAAAAUUAGGUAUAUUCUCGUAAAGUCAAGUGAGCCAUGACAUAUGAGCUCUUAUUGUGAGCACACAGGACGGUGGCAUCUUUCUAAGGUUUUUUUUAUUUUCCCAGCAAUCAGUACAACCAAGUCAUCGUUAUAAGGCAUCGCCCUCUUUUGCCCACCCCCCCAGCACCAGGUGUGGCCACUAGCCUAUAUGAAGGCCCAAAAUUGUGUGUUCCUUUCUGCUCUGACAAUGGCAUGCCCAUUCGUGCGAGAUGUGGUGGAUGAAGAAGCACUUGUGCUGAGGAGAGCCUUCAGGCGAGAAAGGGUCUUCAGGGACCGGUUGGACCCACUGGCCUUCCCUGAUGACCAUCUAUAUGAAAGAUACCUGAUGCCAUCUGCAGAAAACCUGUAUCUAUGCAGACUACUGGGUCCCAGGAUUAAGCACCGCACUGCACGGAGCCAUGCACUGAGUGUGGAGCAAAUGGUUUGUGUGGCCUUGCGCUUUUUUGCUAGUGGAGCCUUCCUGUACUCAGUGGGGGAUGCAGAACAGCUGAACAAGGCCACAAUUUGCCGCACAAUAAGGAGUGUGUGUCUGGCUAUCAAAGCAUUAGCAGAUGUCUUCAUCUCCUUCCCUGGCCACAGAAGACUCUGUGACAUCAAAGAGGAGUUCUAUAGGAUUGCAGAUGGUCUGCAAUGCUGACUGUGUGAUCAGCAAUGUUGUGGCAAAAUGGCCUGGCUCAGUCCAUGACUCCAGAAUCUUUCGGGCCUCUGAAAUCUAUC